rnacentral:misc_RNA from 1 species
GAUGAAGAACGUAGCGAAAUGCGAUACGUAGUGUGAAUUGCAGAAUUCAGUGAAUCAUCGAACCUUUGAACGCACAUUGCACCUCUCGGUAUUCCGGGAGGUAUGCCUGUUCGAGCGUCAUUUGUACCCUCAAGCUCUGCUUGGUGUUGGGUGUUUGUUCCGCCUCUGUGUGUGAACUCGCCUCAAAACAAUUGGCAGCCGGCGUACUUGUUUCGGAGCGCAGCACAUUUUGCGAUCCAGAUCAACGUACAGCGGCAUCCAAGAAGCCUUAUUUAACGCUCUUGACCUCGGAUCAGGUAGGGAUACCCGCUGAACUUAAGCAUAUCAAUAAGCGGAGGA